rnacentral:lncRNA from 1 species
UUCCAGGUAACCAGCAGAUGGGUCAAAUAAUGACAGUUUGGGGCUGGGGAUUUAGCUCAGUGAGUCCACUGCCUUCCCUGCAAGCACAAGGUCCUGAUUUCGAUCCCUGGUACCAAAGGAAAAAAAAAAAGACAGUUCCCUGUCAGUGAGGCUUGAGUUCUACCUUUUUUAUGUCCCUCUGGGGGCUGCCUCAAACAGUGGAUUAUUUUCAAGGCUACCAUGAAACUAGAGGGUAUGUCUGUGACUUUUGACCAGAUAACGAUACUACUUAUCAUUUGGAGUGGGAUCAUGGUGACCAUGUCCGUGCUAAUAGGCACUUUCAUCUUUCUUUAUGUCAAAAUGUUCCAGGCAGUGAAGGCUUCAAAGGAAUGUGAUCCUGAGGCUAACUCAGCCAACACCACCAAGGACAAGGUCAUCCUGGCUGAAACUGCUGCUAUGGACUCAUCCCAGCUUUUAACUGUAUGAUGAAUGCAAAAUGUAUGCAGAUUAUGAUCCCCUGCCACCUUGCUUUUGUGGCAUAAAUGAGGGACUCUGAUGUGGCCAUGGGGGACACAAAAAUCUUCAUAAGCAAUAUUUUUCUUAAAAUUCUGUUAUUCAAAUUGAGUUCCAUAAUGUUGCUCUAUGCUAUAUUCAGCAAAAUGUUACUUCAUAUAUUUGUGAAUAAAUAUGUAACAUCAAAAAUGAUCCUCUCUUCAGUAUUUUUUC